rnacentral:tRNA from 1 species
AAAAAGAUAAGCUAAUUAAGCUUUUGGGUUCAUACCCCAAAAUAAACCUUUUCUUUUUA